GACGAACGCUGGCGGCGUGCUUAACACAUGCAAGUCGAACGAUGAAGCUGGAGCUUGCUCUGGCGGAUUAGUGGCGAACGGGUGAGUAACACGUGAGAAAUCUGCCCUUGACUCUGGGAUAACUGCGGGAAACUGUAGCUAAUACCGGAUACUUUCCCUGGUGGGCAUCCACUGGGGAAGAAAGAAUUUCAGUCAAGGAUGAUCUCGCGGCCUAUCAGCUUGUUGGUGAGGUAAUGGCUCAGCAAGGCGACGACGGGUAGCCGGCCUGAGAGGGUGACCGACCACACUGGGACUGAGACACGGCCCAGACUCCUACGGGAGGCAGCAGUGGGGAAUAUUGCACAAUGGGCGCAAGCCUGAUGCAGCAACGCCGCGUGAGGGAUGAAGGCCUUCGGGUUGUAAACCUCUUUUAGCAGGGAAGAAGCGAAAGUGACGGUACCUGCAGAAAAAGCACCGGCUAACUACGUGCCAGCCGCCGCGGUAA
rnacentral:rRNA from 1 species